ensembl:snRNA U6 U6 spliceosomal RNA
GUGCUCACUUGGACAGCACAUGCACUAAAUACGAAGGCUGCAGAGAGGACGAGCAUGGCCCCUGCACAAGGAUGACACACAAAACCAUCAAGUGUCCAGUUUUUAA